GUCUAUUUGCAUAGUGAGGAUUAAUUUUUCAAUUACAGCUUCAGGUGAUGAAGUCAUUUACCCCCAGUUUGCUCCCCCUCAACUCAGUUUUGUUUAUAUUUCCCAGGGCCUGAGACAGUGAGGUGUCCUUGAUUCCCAGGCCUGGAGAGGAAUUGUUGUGUCUGAGCAAAAUGGGAAAAGCAGCAGCUCACACUGUGUGUGGAGUUAUACAGAGUUAUUUCCAUUUAUAUUAUUAUUUAUAUUUAGAGUUAUGCACUGAAGAAUUGCAGUGUAUGAACAGGAUAACAUAUGAAAAAGAGAAAAGCUGAAAUCCUGAGGCAUCACAAGCCCCGUCCGAGCUGGCUUUAGACACUUCCAGGGAUGGGGCAACCACUUCCCCAACGCGGCACAAUAACCCGUGUCCCAACGCCGCCCUGCACGGCCUCGCCCAGCCGUGCCACGGGCUUGUCACGGAGCCUGGCACCUCCUCUGCCAAAUUACCACCCCGCUGCCUUUUGGCUGCAGUCCUCACCCCGAUCCCAGAACCUACACGAACCAUCUGCACCCCUCGGGGCUCCCAAAAACCAGCCACAGCUCCCGGGACCACGCAGGUGGCAGAGAUCCAGCCUGGAACCUGCCAGACGCGGCGGGGUUUUUUUUGGGGGGGGAUGCUGUGUCCAAAAGUCACAUCAGCGGGCAGGAAAGUCUUACAGCGCGGUGAGAAAUCCACGGGAACACAAGCAGGACGCUGCGCCUCGCGUCAGGCUCUGAUAAAUUUUUCCCUUGACUCCUGCCCGGGUGGAAUUGCUGCAGCCGGAGCCGGUCUGGAAUGGCUCGGAGGAGCCUCGUCAGGUGUUCAGGGCUUGUGGAAACUAGGACAUCCUGACUUGCCGCUGGCUAACUCCUUUGGAAAUAAAUCACCGCGCGGGAUCAUAAAAGUCAUCAAACGGCAACCUGGGGUGAACCGAGCCGCAGAUGGAGGGAAGGGCGCGGGCGCCCGGAAAAUGAGAGAGUUUUCCCAGCCCAGGCUCCAUUCCCUCGCGUCCUCCGGAGCAGGGCGGGACGGCGGCGGCCGGCGCGGGGCUGGAGCGGGCGGCCGAGCCCGGAGCGGCGGAGCGCGGGGCCCGGAGCGCCGGGAAAGGGCAGGUACGUGCGGCUGGGAGCGACUCCCGGGCUCGGCUCUGCCAGCUCCGCGUGGAGAUGGAGGAGGGGGAGAGGGAAACUGAGAGGAGGGGGCUGCAGG
rnacentral:lncRNA from 1 species